GGGCCCGCACAAGCGGUGGAGUAUGUGGUUUAAUUCGAUGCAACGCGAAGAACCUUACCAGGGUUUGACAUCCUGCGAAUCUCUUGGAAACAGGAGAGUGCCUUCGGGAACGCAGUGACAGGUGGUGCAUGGCUGUCGUCAGCUCGUGUCGUGAGAUGUUGGGUUAAGUCCCGCAACGAGCGCAACCCUUACCCUUAUUUGCCAGCGGUUAGGCCGGGAACUAUAAGGGAACUGCCGGUAAUAAGCCGGAGGAAGGUGGGGACGACGUCAAGUCAUCAUGGCCCUUACGUGUAGGGCUACACACGUGCUACAAUGGGAGAUACAGACGGUUGCUAAAGCGCGAGCUGGAGCCAAUCCGACAAAGUCUCUCGUAGUCCGAAUUGCAGUCUGGAACUCGACUGCAUGAAGCCGGAAUCGCUAGUAAUCG
rnacentral:rRNA from 1 species